GACAGAGGGUGCAAACGUUGCUCGGAAUCACUGGGCGUAAAGGGCGUGUAGGCGGGAAGGCAAGUCAGAUGUGAAAUCCCCAGGCUCAACCUGGGAACUGCAUUUGAAACUCCCUUUCUUGAGUGCCGGAGAGGAAAGCGGAAUACCUGGUGUAGAGGUGAAAUUCGUAGAUAUCAGGUGGAACACCAGUGGCGAAGGCGGCUUUCUGGACGGUAACUGACGCUGAGACGCGAAAGCGUGGGGAGCAAACAGG
rnacentral:rRNA from 1 species